rnacentral:rRNA from 1 species
UCGAGAAUCAUUCGCAAUGGGCGAAAGCCUGACGGUGCGACGCCGCGUGGAGGAUGAAGGCCCUAGGGUCGUAAACUCCUGUCAUCAGGGAGUAAUGGCUCAUAUAGUAACUGAUAUGGGUCUUGAUAGUACCUGAAGAGGAAGGGACGGCAAACUUCGUGCCAGCAGCCGCGGUAAUACGAAGGUCCCAAGCGUUGUUCGGAUUUACUGGGCGUAAAGAGUCUGUAGGCGGUGGGUAAGUCAGAUGUGAAAUCCCGGGGCUCAACCCCGGAACUGCAUCCGAUACUGCCUUACUUGAGGGUCGGAGGGGAGUCUGGAAUUCUCGGUGUAGCAGUGAAAUGCGUAGAUAUCGAGAGGAACACUAGUGGCGAAGGCGAGACUCUGGACGACAACUGACGCUGAGAGACGAAGGCCAGGGGAGCGAAAAGGAUUAGAUACCCUUGUAGUCCCUGAGCGGGCUGGCAAGGCGCAU